rnacentral:sRNA from 12 species
CCUAUGGAGAGUACAAGAACUUGUGAGUAGUGUCUGGAUUAAUUCAGUAUGAAAGCAUACUCAAUGAAAUAGGAA